rnacentral:miRNA from 1 species
GCUUCUGUGGGCUGUAGGUCAGG